GCUUGUCUCAAGAUUAAGCCAUGCAUGUCUUAGUGUAAAUAACUCUUAUGAAACUGCGAAUGGCUCAUUAAAUCAGUUAUCAAAUACGUGAUGGUCGCCUACUACAUGGAUAACCGUAGUAAUUCUAGAGCUAAUACAUGCAUCAAAGCCUGACUUCUGGAAGGGUUGUAUUUAUUAGAUGGAAACCAAUCGCGGGGCAACCCAGUAUCUGGUGAUUCAUAAUAACUUUCGGAUCGAUCUUCGGGUCGAUGCAUCAUUCAAGUUUCUGCCCUAUCAGCUUUGGAUGGUAGGGUAUUGGCCUACCAUGGCUUUAACGGGUAACGGAGAAUUAGGGUUCGAUUCCGGAGAGGGAGCCUUAAAAACGGCUACCACAUCCAAGGAAGGCAGCAGG
rnacentral:rRNA from 1 species